AAACACGUUUGGCGCUGUCACAGACACAAACCGUCACAGGCCGUGGGGGCAUGAUGCAGCGAGCGCAGUUGGUGCCAGCAUGCCCACUUGGCUUCAAAACGCAGAAAGGGGCCGGACACGCCAGACGGCAUCAGAGUCCACCGCUCAGCGCCACGCCAACACGGAAACCUCUGGAAACAGGAAGCUGACAGACCCCAACGUGGGCACUGUGGGGGGGACGCCAACAGAUGUGGGGUUGUUUCUUCUAAGCUGUGAGGACUGAGGACAAGGUGUCCCCAGGAUGUGGGAAAAAAGCUCCCGAUCAAGGAAAGGUGUGAUUGCAGGUUGUCUGUUGGAACCUCAGGGACAAAAGAGCAGGGCCUCCACCAAAGAGGGGUGAAGAGGUCAAAUAAAACUCUUUUAUCAGCCAAA